CUCUACCUCACAUUCAGCUGAGCUCCCUCCAGUGAACUGAACUCCAAAGCCACCGAUAUGAAGCUGAUUCUCCUCACUUGUCUGGUGGCUGCGGCUGCUGCCUCCGGCGGAGGAAUCGGUGGAGCUUUCGGAGGAGGCGCCUUCGGUGCCUCUGGCUUCAGCCGCCUCGGAGGCAUCGGCUCAGCUUUCGGAGGCAGCCAUUAUGGAGGAUACGGACGUCGCUUCGGAGGCGGUGGAGCUUUCAGCCAGCUUGGAGGAGUUGGAGGUUUCAGCCGCCUUGGAGGCAUUGGUGGAGUUUUCGGAGGAGGAUACGGACGUCGCUUCGGAGGCGGUGGAGCUUUCAGCCAGCUUGGAGGAGUUGGAGGUUUCAACCGCCUUGGAGGCAUUGGUGGAGUUUUCGGAGGAGGAUACGGACGUCGCUUUGGAGGCGGUGGAGCUUUCAGCCAGCUUGGAGGAGUUGGAGGUUUUAACCACCUUGGAGGAGUAGGAGGUUUCAACCGCCUUGGAGGCAUUGGUGGAGUUUUCGGAGGAGGAUACGGUCGUCGCUUCGGAGGCGGUGGAGCUUUCAGCCAGCUUGGAGGAGUUGGAGGUUUCAACCGCCUUGGAGGCAUUGGUGGAGUUUUCGGAGGAGGAUACGGACGUCGCUUCGGAGGCGGUGGAGCUUUCAGCCAGCUUGGAGGAGUUGGAGGUUUCAACCGCCUUGGAGGCAUUGGUGGAGUUUUCGGAGGAGGAUACGGACGUCGCUUUGGAGGCGGUGGAGCUUUCAGCCAGCUUGGAGGAGUUGGAGGCUUCAACCGCCUUGGAGGCAUCGGCGGAGUUUUCGGAUCAGGUGGCCUGUUCCGUGGUGGGCUGACAGGCAGGCGCGGAGGAUAUGGCUUGUAAUAAUUCUAACAUCCGGAUAACUUGAAAAUAUUGCCCGUCAAUAUGUCGACUGCAAUUUAUUUACAGCCGACUUUGUUGUCGGAACUGUGCGUAUGUGUGUGAGUUAAAGCGCCGUGCGCUUGCACUCUAUAGUAUGCAUGUGUCUCUGCUGUUCUUUCAGUGUUAAGUCUUGCAAUAAAAUUGUUGAUUCUGUCGCA